AGAGUUUGCUCCUGGCUCACAACGAACGCUGGCGGUACGCUUAACACAUGCAAGUCGAACGCGAAAGCUCUUCGGAGCAAGUAGAGUGGCGAACGGGUGAGUAACACGUGGAUAACCUGCCCUUAGGUUUGGGAUAACUUUUCGAAAGAAAAGCUAAUACCGGAUAAUAAUAAAAAUAAUUUUUUUAUUUGAAAGAUGCAAUCGCCUUGGGAGGGGUCCGCGCUAUAUUAGCUAGUUGGUGGGGUAACAGCCUACCAAGGCGACGAUGUAUAGCAGGUCUGAGAGGAUGGUCUGCCACACUGGAACUGAGACACGGUCCAGACUCCUACGGGAGGCAGCAGUGGGGAAUUUUGCGCAAUGGGCGAAAGCCUGACGCAGCGAUACCGCGUGAGUGAAGAAGGCCCUUGGGUCGUAAAACUCUUUUGUAAGGGAAGAUAAUGACGGUACCUUACGAGUAAGCACCGGCUAACUCCGUGCCAGCAGCCGCGGUAAUACGGAGGGUGCGAGCGUUGUUCGGAUUUAUUGGGCGUAAAGGGUGCGUAGGCGGUUUUUUACGUAAAGGGUGAAAACCCGAAGCUCAACUUCGGGCCUGCUUUUUAAACGGAAAAACUUGAGAAAGUUAGGGGCAAGUGGAAUUCCUGGUGUAGAGGUGAAAUUCGUAGAUAUCAGGAGGAAUACCUGCGGCGAAAGCAGCUUGCUGGGACUUUUCUGACGCUGAGGCCACGAAAGCAUG
rnacentral:rRNA from 1 species